rnacentral:rRNA from 1 species
UACGGAGGGUGCAAGCGUUAUCCGGAUUUACUGGGUUUAAAGGGUGCGUAGGUGGGUAGGAAAGUCAGUGGUGAAAUCUUCGGGCUUAACCCGGAAACUGCCAUUGAUACUAUUUAUCUUGAAUACUUUGGAGGUAAGCGGAAUAUGUCAUGUAGCGGUGAAAUGCUUAGAUAUGACAUAGAACACCAAUUGCGAAGGCAGCUUACUACACAGUUAUUGACACUGAGGCACGAAAGCGUGGGGAGUCAAACAGGAAUUAAGAUUACCC